UCUUGGGCAGCCCGUCGCCCACGCUGACUGUGAGCGCCCGGCCGCUCGCCUUGAGCACCGCCAAGUCGCCGGAGCCGCGGGAGAAAGUGACGCUGCGGGUGCCGCCUCCGCCCCAGCCCUCCUUCUUCACCCGGAACUGUAGUCUGUGGGGAGAGGAGGAAGCUGCGGGGACGCCCACUCCCAGGCGGGCCGGGGCCGCGGGGCGGGAGAGGGGGCUCUGUGCCCCGCGCAGCCCGAGGACGGUGGCGGGGGGCGUACGUGUCGCUGAAGGUAAGAGAUGAAAACAACCCAGGUGUCCACCCACGGAGGAAUGGAUAGAAAAAUGUGGUCCGUCCACACACUGGAAGAUUAUUCAGCCUUAAGAAGGAAGGACAUCCUGACACCUGCCACCACCUGGACAAACUUUGAUGACAUUAUGUGGAGUGAGUGAGAUCUUCCCUGACCACCGUGACACAGAAUGAGUGCGCUGCUCAAUCCCUACAUACCCCGGAGGAUGAGAAAGUUCUGGAAGGAGAGAGCAGGGGUGGCUGCACAGCAUUGUGACGGUGCUUAAUGCCACAGAACUGUACCAUCCAACAUGGUGAAAAGCCCCCAGGUCCAGGCCUGGAUGGUUCCAGCAGCCGCCUCCCUCCUGCGCUCCAUGCCACAGCCAGAUGGAGCCUCUCCCUACAUCUUCCAUCUGAUCACCUCCUGCCCCUGCGCGGUGCUCCCCAUUGCCAGGAAUUGGUGAGGUGACAGUCAAGCCUGCCUUCCCCACUUGGCAGUCUGAGCCCAAGGCGGUCUGGGGGCAGGGCCUCUCCCACGCCCUGGCCCCCCUCACCUCCACGAGAAAGUCAAAGAGACGGGCGUAGAGCCCCUUGGCCAGGGCAUCGCGGGUGUAGGCCGCCUGUUCCACGUUGAGGGUCACAUCGAUGGACUCACUGCGUCCGCCCCAGCGACUGUCCAUCUUGCGGCUGGUGAGCUUCUCCUGCAGCCGUGUGCUGUCGAUGCCCAGCAGGUAGGCGGGGAAGGCCAGCACUGCCAGGGUGGGGGACACGGGGCAGCCACUUUGGCUCUUGGGCCUCCUCUGGGGUCCCCGUCUCUCCCCAUUUUGCCCAGUGACACAGAUACUGUCCUCGUGGGUCCUUACCCCCUGGGGGUGAACCAGGAGGAAGUGGUUCUCACACACAGACGUGCCCCCUGGCCCUCCCCAGCACCCACACUCACGGUCCACACUCUCCACCCGGGCGUAAUUCCCAUCUUCGCAGAAGCUGAUGUUUCCCAAGUGCAGGAUUCCCGCCACAAGCUGCAGGACCAGCUGCUGGACGUUGGGGGGGAUCCCGAUGACCUGCAUGGCGUUCUGCAGGCACAACGGGACAGAACCUGUACCGCCAAUCACCACCUCCACCCCGCCCUCCUGGGUUAGGCUUCUGGGGCCAGGGCACGGACACAGGGGUCAGGGCACCUGGAUCCCUGUCCUGCCCAUUUCCUCCACUUGCUGUGUGACCUUAGGCAAGUCCUUGCCCCUCUCUGGGCCUCGGUUUUCUAGACUGGUGGUCACCACUCACCAAAGUCUCGCUGAAGUCGCUCUGGUCAUCCGUGCCAUCCACCUUGUAGGUGUCCGAUUGGAGGUAGUAAUAGUAGUCGGGGGUCAUGAGCCCCAGGUUCUGCCGCUGCUCCUGGGAGGCUCCUUCCAGCAGCUGGAGGACGAGCGAUGCUCAUGCAUCUGACAUGGACUGGUGCAGCCCUGUGACCCCCGCAGUCCUCACUGCCAUGGGCUCCUGGACCCUGACCCUCCUGCUGUCUCCCCUCAGGCCCUCCCUCUGCCCCAGCCUCACGGCCCCUUUCCUUGCACCUGAUAGUAGAUGUGGAAGUUCCUCUCGUUUUCAUUCUGCAUGACCACUCGGGAUUUCUCCAGCAGGAAGUUGGAGAUCUUGCCCCCAUCUGGCUCCCCGCCGCGGCUGAACUGGAUCUCAAAGUACUUGCCCUGAAGCCGAGAGAGCCAUGUUAGAUGCCCAGGGUACCCCCUCCCUGGGGGGGUGCAGGUGGGGGACUGUCCCUCUCUUGCCCGUGUGACCUAACUUUUCUCUCUCCACCUCCCACUUAGGGACGUUCACUCUCUGCAUCAGCUCUUUCCCUCCAGCAUUUAAGCUGCUCCUCUAAGGACUCCAGCCCUCAUCAGGGCAUCCAGGCCUGUGCCUGGCACAUAGAAGUACCCCAUUUUAUUGACCAGUUUCCCAGUCCUCCCACCACAACACAGAGGCCUCCAUGUCUCUGCAGGCUGUUGCGGGUGUCAGGGAUCCUGGGUGUCCCUGAGCCCAGAGUGAGGGCCCCACAUGCCCCUUCCUUGGUCUCUGACAAUGUCUGGUUCUACUUUGGCCAGAGGUUGGAGGGCAGAGAAGCCCCCUUACUUUUCCCUUCCAGGCAAUGACGAUACACAUGACAUCAUCCCAUUACACAGACAUCUGUAAUACAGGACAUAUACCUAUUCUGUACAAUAAAAUAAUAAA